rnacentral:tRNA from 9 species
CGCGGGGUGGAGCAGUUCGGUAGCUCGUCGGGCUCAUAACCCGAAGGUCGUUGGUUCAAAUCCAGCCCCCGCUACCA